rnacentral:rRNA from 1 species
UACAGAGGUUGCGAGCGUUAAUCGGAAUUACUGGGCGUAAAGCGCGCGUAGACGGUUUUGUAAGUCAGAUGUGAAAUCCCUGGGCUCAACCUGGGAACUGCAUUUGAGACUGCAUGGCUAGAGUAUGGAAGAGGGAAGUGGAAUUUCCGGUGUAGCGGUGAAAUGCGUAGAUAUCGUAAGGAAGACCAGUGGCGAAGGCGGGUCUCUGGACAGUUCCUGACGCUGAGGCACGAAGGUCAGGGGAGCAAACGGG